rnacentral:rRNA from 1 species
UACAGAGGUCCCAAGCGUUACUGAGAAUCACUGGGUUUAAAGGGUGCGUAGGUGGUCCGUUAAGUCAUUUGUGAAAUCCCCGGGCUCAACCCGGGAAAUGCUUCUGAUACUGGCGGACUUGAGGCCAGUAGGGGUCACUAGAACUGACGGUGGAGCGGUGAAAUGCGUAGAUAUCGUCAGGAAUGCCGGUGGUGAAGACGGGUGACUGGGCUGGUUCUGACACUGAGGCACGAAAGCGUGGGGAGCGAACGGG